rnacentral:rRNA from 1 species
GAGUUUGAUCCUGGCUCAGGACGAACGCUGGCGGCGUGCUUAACACAUGCAAGUGGAGCGACGAACCAGGGCUUGCCCUGGGGCAAAGCCGCGAACGGGUGAGUAACACGUGGGUAACCUGCCCUGAUGAUUGGGACAACCCGAGGAAACUCGGGCUAAUACCAAAUGUGCUCUUCGGUCAUAAGGCCGUCGAGGAAAGGUAGCUUCGGCUUCCGCAUCAGGAUGGGCCCGCGGCCCAUUAGCUUGUUGGUGGGGUAACGGCCUACCAAGGCUCCGAUGGGUAGCUGGUCUGAGAGGACGAUCAGCCACACUGGGACUGAGACACGGCCCAGACUCCUACGGGAGGCAGCAGUGGGGAAUCUUGCACAAUGCGCGAAAGCGUGAUGCAGCAACGCCGCGUGGGGGAAGAAGGCCUUCGGGUUGUAAACCCCUUUCAGUUGGGACGAAGCUUCUGCGGUGAACAGCCGUACGGAGUGACGGUACCUUCAGAAGAAGCCCCGGCUAACUACGUGCCAGCAGCCGCGGUAAUACGUAGGGGGCAAGCGUUGUCCGGAAUUAUUGGGCGUAAAGCGCGUGUAGGCGGCUCGGUAAGUCUGCUGUGAAAGUCCAGGGCUCAACCCUGGAACGCCGGUGGAUACUGUCGAGCUCGAGUCCGGAAGAGGCGAGUGGAAUUCCUGGUGUAGCGGUGAAAUGCGCAGAUAUCAGGAGGAACACCAAUGGCGAAGGCAGCUCGCUGGGACGGUACUGACGCUGAGACGCGAAAGCGUGGGGAGCAUACGGGAUUAGAUACCCUGGUAGUCCACGCCCUAAACGAUGUCUACUAGUUGUCGGG